UACGAAGGGGGGCUAGCGUUGCUCGGAAUUACUGGGCGUAAAGGGCGCGUAGGCGGAUAGUUUAGUCAGAGGUGAAAGCCCAGGGCUCAACCUUGGAAUUGCCUUUGAUACUGGCUAUCUUGAGUAUGGAAGAGGUAUGUGGAACUCCGAGUGUAGAGGUGAAAUUCGUAGAUAUUCGGAAGAACACCAGUGGCGAAGGCGACAUACUGGUCCAUUACUGACGCUGAGGCGCGAAAGCGUGGGGAGCAAACAGG
rnacentral:rRNA from 1 species